AUAGAAGUGUUUUCCGUGCUGGCUCAUGUACAAGUCCCUUGGAACAGGGCGUCAUAGAGGGUGAGAAUCCCGUCCUUGACAUGAACUACCAGUGCUCUGUGAUACAUUUUCAACGAGUCGAGUUGUUUGGGAAUGCAGCUCAAAAUGGGUGGUAAAUUCCAUCUAAAGCUAAAUAUUGGCGAGAGACCGAUAGCGAACAAGUACCGUGAGGGAAAGAUGAAAAGCACUUUGGAAAGAGAGUUAAACAGUAUGUGAAAUUGUUGAAAGGGAAACGAUUGAAGUCAGUCGUGCUCUUUGGAUUCAGCCGGUUCUGCCGGUGUACUUCCUUUGAGUGGGGUCAACAUCAGUUUUGAUCGCUGGAUAAAGGCUGGAGGAACGUAGUACCCUCGGGUAAACUUAUAGCCUCCUGUCACAUACAGUGGUUGGGACUGAGGAACGCAGCACGCCUUUAUGGCCGGGAUUCGUCCACGUACGUGCUUAGGAUGUUGACAUAAUGGCUUUAAACGACC
rnacentral:rRNA from 1 species